rnacentral:lncRNA from 1 species
GAUAUCAUUAAGGACACAAAAUAAGGAUGGAGAAUUUGAGUGAAUAUUCUAGUCCCAGCUCUUCCUUGAAUUUGCCUUGUAAGUUUAGUUUCCUUAUUUGUAAAAUGAAAUAUUGAACUACAUGGCAUCUGCUACGGUCUGAGUGUUUUUGUCUCUGCCCCCUGCAAAUUCAUGUGUUGACACUUAAUCCCUAAUGCAGUAGCAUUAAGGGGUGGGGUCUUCAGAAGGUGAUUAGAUCACGAUGGCUCCACCCUCAUGAAUGAGAUUAGGACCCUUAUAAAAGAGGCCUGAGAGGACGCCGCUUUUUAAGCCCUCCCGAUGUGUGAGGACACACAGGAGCCACCACCCAGAGGAACAGGCCUUUAGCGGACACUGAAUCUGCUGGUGCCUUCAUCUUGGAAUUUCCAGACUCCAGAACUCUGCAGUUACCAUCCUCAAAUACAAAAGUAAUUGAUACUCAGCAAUGAAAGCUGCAUGUGCAUGUAGGGGAGAGAAGGAGGUUUCACCAGACUGACAAAUGGAGUCAUGGUUCUGGGAAGGAGCAGGGUGUUGGGUGCACAUUUGUCACCUGGGAAUACUACCAGCAAGCCUCAUAUUUUUUCUGCAAUAAAUGCUGGAAAGGAAAAAGAAAUGCUGAAAAUGAUGAAGUAAUUCCAAUUCUGCUGAUAGAGACCUGGAAAUGCACUAGGGAAAAAUGACAAGAGUGUAACACACUGCUGCUGAUUAUGUCAUAAUGAUUAUUUUAUGCAGUUUGAAGAAGACUCACUGUUCUAAAGAACCAGCAUCCAUUUCCAGGAAAGAGCAGGGAUUCUCCAUCCAUACCUCCAUGGGAUGAACCACAUUGAAAAUAAUGAUUUCCUUCUAAUAGCUUACUCUACAUUAUAUAAAGAAUUCCUUGGGAUUCUAAAAAAACCCUAAUAAUAUAGUAAUAAUAACAACAGAGGUUUGUUUUUGCUAUUUGUAGUCUAAUAUUCAGAUUGUGAGCAGCUGUUUUGGAAGGCAAGAUGAGUGAAUAGAUGUGAAGUCGUCUUAGAAAUGUCCAGGCUUCCAAAAGAAAUUUCACUUUUAAAAGAAAAUAGCCUAAUGUGAACCACAUUAGAAUCAGCACAUCUAAUCCUACGGAGAAAAAGUGACCAUGGCUGUCUACACAUAUAGGCAGGUCAUUCAAGCUCAUUCAAAAAUUCCACUUUCACUGGUGGUCUGUCUGUGUCCACAUGGUGACAAAUGGCCCCGGCAGGGUUUUUGAGGUGUUGGCACCACCAGUGAGUGCCAGAUGGAAUGUGGUGAAAGUUCUGAUUUGUACCUUUCAGACUAAAGGUACUUUCCAGAAUGGACGGGUCCUUCUGGCUGCCUUUUGUAAGUGCAGCCACAGGUAUUCUGUUGAAGCCUGUGGGUGAGAAAGACAUAAACAGGUGCUAUAAAUUUGUCAGACCAGGAAGCCACAGGCCGUUUAGUAAAUGGUAAACCCAAUGGCCCAAAAGAACAAAGGGGUCUCUUUUCAUCAGAAUGAUCAGGCUCAUUCAACAAAUAUUUAUUGAGCACCCACUUUCUGCCAGAUGGAAGAGCCACUGACAAGGCCUCUUAUUUAAAGAGUGCCUGAAGUGAGGAAGCAAACCCCCAAAUCAUCUGGGAUGGUAUGAACUGAACUCUGGACCGCAACAUGAUGGAAAGGAGGAGCUGGGGUCCCAAGGGCAGUCCAGACAACCUGAACCUGUGACACUCACCCUGCCCACACACUCUCAGAGCUGCAGCUUUCACGGGGGUGACAUGAAUGCUUGUAAAUGAGCUUGCUGAAUGGGAGACCAAGAACGAUGAUAUUGAGCUGUUACUACAUGCCAGACAUUUAACCCUUUCAUCCAGGUUAUCUCAAUCAUUCCUUACAGAAAGGCUUUUGAGAUGUCCUUGCAACUGGAGGUGCCAUAUGAUACAGUUCUGCCCAAAGACAAGAAAGUGAAUGUCUGUUGAGGGCUUCCUAUAAGGCCAAUACAUACAGGUGUUCCCAACAACAGAUGGAAAAGCUCCUGCCAUCCUGGGCAGCACAUGGUAGAGGGGAGGCAGCCACUGACCUUCUGGGUAAUCUGUCAUGACGACCUGAUAGCAGACCGGCAGGAUGCUCCAAACUGUCACCAAAGAUGUCACGAGUGCUUCUGAGGCUCAAGAAUCUAAUUUUCCUUACUUAAAAUAAAAGGACUGAAUGCUGGAUGAAUAACCCUUUUUUUCACCCCCUAAACAAAUCUCAUAGGGAAUCCUAAUAUAUAAAAUAACCAAAGUGCAAGCCCUGGGUUAAAGCCGAGGAUGGGUGCUAGAGAUGGGCUAGAGCAUGUCUGCUUAGCUUUCUUCCACUAUCCCAGCCAUUUAAAGACCACAAGUUAGCUUCCUGGAAUUCAGUUUGACAAACACUUAGGCUAGAUCAUUGUCAGGGGACCUUCAUUUCAAGCUCCAUGGAGUAGGUCGGGGACUCUGCCUUGGUCAUCCCUGAAUCCCCACAGCCAUGGUUCUAGCACACAGUAAGCACUAAAAACCAAAACCCAAAAACCCGUAUGAUAAUGUAUGUCUACAGACAUUCGAUGAAUGGAUGAAUAAAAGAUUUUUCAGAUACCAUGAGAUGUGUUUAUCUAUUUAAGAUUAUAACUCCAUUGACCAAUAGAGUUGGGUUUUAAGCUAUAACCCCCCAAUCUGACCAU